rnacentral:rRNA from 1 species
AUUGAACGCUGGCGGCAGGCCUAACCCUUGCAAGUCGAGCGGAGCGGCGGACGGGUGAGUAAUGCCUAGGCAUCUGCCUGGUAGUAGGGGGUAACGUCCGGAAACAGGGGCUAAUAACGCAUCCCUCCAGAUGAGCCUAGGUCGUAUUAGCUAGUUGUUGGGGUAAAGGCCUACCAAGGCGACGAUCCGUAACUGGUCUGAGAGGAUGAUCAGUCACACUGGAACUGAGACACGGUCCAGACUCCUACGGGAGGCAGCAGUGGGGAAUAUUGGACAAUGGGCGAAAGCCUGAUGCAGCCAUGCCGCGUGUGUGAAGAAGGUCUUCGGAUUGUAAAGCACUUUAAGUUGGGAGGCGUUACCAACAGAAGAAGCACCGGCUAACUUCGUGCCAGCAGCCGCGGUAAUUC